CGGUCUGCUACCUCUUACCCAUGUCUUUUGAGUACCUUCGUUUCCUCGGCGGGUCCGCCCGCCGGUUGGACAACAUUCAAACCCUUUGCAGUUGCAAUCAGCGUCUGAAAAAACAUAAUAGUUACAACUUUCAACAACGGAUCUCUUGGUUCUGGCAUCGAUGAAGAACGCAGCGAAAUGCGAUAAGUAGUGUGAAUUGCAGAAUUCAGUGAAUCAUCGAAUCUUUGAACGCACAUUGCGCCCCUUGGUAUUCCAUGGGGCAUGCCUGUUCGAGCGUCAUUUGUACCUUCAAGCUCUGCUUGGUGUUGGGUGUUUUGUCUCGCCUCUGCGUGUAGACUCGCCUUAAAACAAUUGGCAGCCGGCGUAUUGAUUUCGGAGCGCAGUACAUCUCGCGCUUUGCACUCAUAACGACGACGUCCAAAAGUACAUUUUUACACUCUUGACCUCGGAUCAGGUAGGGAUACCCGCUGAACUUAAGCAUAUCAAUAAGCGGAGG
rnacentral:rRNA from 1 species